UAAGAAUCUUGCACAAUGGGGGCAACCCUGAUGCAGCGACGCCGCGUGAAUGAUGAAGGCUUUCGGGUUGUAAAGUUCAGUAAGCAGGGAAGAAUAAGCGCCGGGUAAUAUUCGGCGUGAUGACGGUACCUGCCUAAAGCCCCGGCUAACUACGUGCCAGCAGCCGCGGUAAUACGUAUGGGGCGAGCGUUGUUCGGAAUUAUUGGGCGUAAAGGGCGUCUAGGCGGGGGAUUAAGUUAGAUGUGAAAGCUAUGGGCUCAACCCAUAAAUUGCAUCUAAGACUGGUUCUCUUGAGUUCGGGAGAGGAGAGCGGAAUUCCAGGUGUAGCGGUGAAAUGCGUAGAUAUCUGGAAGAACACCAGUGGCGAAGGCGGCUCUCUGGCCUAGGACUGACGCUGAAGCGCGAAAGCGUGGGGAGCGAAC
rnacentral:rRNA from 1 species